UACGGGAAAUAACAAAUAUUCGUUUUAUUCAAUCGAGACACAUUAUUUUAAUACGUUCGUGCACAAGAAAUCGUAUCGCAAAACAGAUGAAUUUAACAGUGUUUGUUCACUUGUAGUUAAAUUCAAAAAUGUAGUGGAUAUGCCGAACUGUACACCUGUCGUUGCAGAAGAAACGCGAGCAAGUGAGGCACUGAAAGAAAUGUAAAAGCUUUUAACUCCCUAAUUUAGUUCACAUGAAAAGUGGCAGCCAUGGCCUAAGGCAAUCUAAAUUCCACUGGAAGCCCAUUUUCACCCAUAAAUGGUUAAUCCGAAAUAGCCAACCGUUAUACCCGUAAUACCCUGUAGCAAGUAACAUAAGCAGGCAAUGUUUCACCUACAUAACAAAGUACACAGAUAACAUAAACACACCGAACAGAACAGGAAAACAAGGAGGAGCCAAAGGAAAAGGAAUGGCGCAGACAGACACGAAAUAACAAUGAAACUAAAAACUUAAAACUGUCUGUCAACUUGCCAGGAUAUCAGCAGACAUUUUAAGGACUCCCAGGGAGCACCAAAGGCCAAAGAUAAAUGCUCGUGUUUGGAGGGACGAGGAGUGCGCAAAUCGCUUUAAGGGGCUCCUUUGUCACUUAUCGGGUCAAAUGGACAACGAGGUCCCUAUCCUGGGCAUCAACAUGUCACUCUUGACCCCUUUCGACUGGACGGGGCGGACCGACCAUCGGCGGCAAAUGAACUCUGAUCUGAACAAAUGAACUUUCAACUCAAUCAAUUAGGAGACUUUGGACGAUUUAAUCGAAAAAUCGAAAUGGCUACCAAGUACGUACUUGGGCUAACUACUAUCCACAUCAAUGGCGUUGUAAUAGGGCUUUAAUAAGGACUACAUUUUCUUACAUUGCAUUUAAGACCGCCAGAGAAUAUAUACCCAAAUGUAUUUCACCCGAAAUUCGUAUUGAAUUAAUAGCUGAAAGUCAAAAAUGAUGUUAAGCCAUUUUCCAAGGAAAAUCUUCCAGCCUGCUGGUGGAAAAGAGGAAAAUCAAAUUUGGCAUUUAACCAGGCAUUACCGAGAUAUGCGUUCGACUAGCAGCAACUCCGGUGUUAAGGACAAACUUUCAGCGAACAAUUUAAGCCAACCACGUUCACGGCCAUCACAUUGGGAAUACCCAUCGAAAAGAAGGGUUCUAUGUUCCUGACUUUCAAAACUCCCAGGAGUUGGGUGAUGGCGGGGGUUAAAAUGAGUUUUCAACUUUCUGGCGGCGUCAUAUAUUCGCUGGAAACGUGACUUCUUAACCCGUGCGUUCACCUGAAGACAGUGAGCCACCGUGAACCCACCAUGAUAUAUAUGAGCCUUGGAAUUGCAUUGGCAAAGCCACCUACUACCGACUACUGCAUUCAUCUUCAUCUGGGCCCGUUUCCUCACAUUUCUUCCCCCCCAAAGAAGUUGUGCUACUUCUCUGAAUAAAUGAUGCCACAAGCCGCAAAGAGACUUCACUUCGACUUAUCACCAAACACGUGUAUGAAUAUUUUUAGGGCCAAGCUCCUAAUUGCUUAGUCCGAGCACACGAAAACAAUUGAACUUCGGCAGCAUUAAGUUCUUGGUUUUUCGAGUGCACACAUCGCCACUCAAUCGGACAUUGAUUAGAACAAAGGAGCCGCCGAGGAAUUGCAGGAAUUGCAAGUUGCAAACUUCGUCCAGCUUAUCGUCCUAUGUCGAAAUGAAAUGGCUGAAUGCGUGGGCUCAAAUGUGCAUAUAGAUAUAUAUAUAUCCAACAUAUACAACAAACAUCCACAUCGUAUCUGAUGUAAAGACAGCCUACAAAUGCACUUUCGCACAUCUAAAUUCCCAGAAUGAGAACUUGCUGCAUGAAGUUAAAUUGCUUUUCUUCGAACGAAGUACUCCAAAAUUCUGAUAACAAUAUACACAGAAUAUUUAAGUUUAAAUUUUAAUAUGUGUAGCCAAUCAACUUUAGACAUCUUUAGGUAAUUUGAUGAAUUUUCAUGUAAUGUAUGCAAAAGCUCUUAAUAUUUUAAAGAUCUUCAAACUUUUAAUGUUGCUGCUCGCCGCGAAAAAGGCCCAAUCGAGAUUCAUCGUUCUUUUUUUUUUCGCCGACAAUUUCGCGAAAAUUGGUUCACCCCGCAUGACAUUCAGAAUAUUUCAGAGACAGCGUCAAAAACGCGAUAUGAAGCAUGACGAGCGAAAAGGAGAGCGAAGCGCCACAGAACUUGACUGCAACGCCAUCCAAAUGGUUGGCAGUCAAUGAGGCAUCGCCUAGGCCUAUUUGGAUUGCACAGUGGCGGUCACAAAAAACUGAUGGCUUGCCGCCAUCUGUUUGACAAAUACUGACUAAGAGGCCAUGGGGACGCAUCUCAAAGUGGCAAGUCAAGCGGAGAAGGUGCAGAGGAGCCAAGGACGCUGCGGCCUGUGUGAUAUGUUAAUUUGGCCUAAACUACACACUACACACACCAACGGAAAAUGGCAAACUGCGGAUGGGAAAACGCAAAACGAAAAGGAAAGCGAGUGCGAGUGCGAAACGCGUCCUUCGCCUGCAAAUCCCAAAGGCGAAAUGUGUCAUACAUUCGCCAGUUGGCUACGGAUUUUAAAGAAACACGCCAAAGAAGCAGUAUUUUCUUAUUUUUCCAACGCUUCUGGCAGCUUUCGGUUGCACGGACAUGGGGCAGUUUUGAUUUAUGCCACAAGAUGCGACAGCUUCGUGGAGUAUAUGAUAAUAAAUCAGUUUGGCACAUAUUUUAAGGUUUAAUGGUGUAACAGAAAAGAAGAAAAAUCACUAAUGUCAAAGUGGGUUUGGUGCAUUGAUGUAUAAAUAAUAAAAAUAUACGCCAAAUAUUGAUAUGUUA